AUGUAUAGGUAUACUUAAUACAUACCUUAUAAUUAUAAAUAGGACAGAUAACUUGUAGCAUUAAUUGUAUAUUUGUUUUUCAGUAUUAAGUAAAUAGCAUAAUAAGAAACUAAUACAUUUUAUGCUAAGACAAAGGUAGGGUUGCAAGUUGUAAUUAUUAAAUACUUAAGUAAAAUAACUUUCUUUUUAAAUUUUUAUUGUAAAUAAACAAUCUAGGUAUACAGUUUAUGCACAAUAAGUUUAAGUGAUAAAGGUAAUAACAUAGAAAUGAAAUGCUGAAUAAGAAGCCACCCAUUGACGACACUUAGCUUGAUUAAAAAUAAAUCUUAUUUUUUAUUUUAGAUUGCAUAUUUCUGAUACUUGUUUGAGUUAUU